rnacentral:rRNA from 1 species
AGUAGUUUGAUCAUGGCUCAGAACGACGCUGGCGGCAGGCCUAACACAUGCAAGUCGAGCGCCCCAGCAAUGGGGAGCGGCAGACGGGUGAGUAACGCGUGGGUAUCUACCUAGUGGUGCGGAAUAGCCCAGGGAAACUUGGAGUAAUACCGCAUAAGCCCGAAAGGGGAAAGAUUUAUCGCCAUUAGAUGAGCCCGCGUUGGAUUAGCUAGUUGGUGGGGUAACGGCCCACCAAGGCGACGAUCCAUAGCUGGUCUGAGAGGAUGAUCAGCCACACUGGGACUGAGACACGGCCCAGACUCCUACGGGAGGCAGCAGUGGGGAAUAUUGGACAAUGGGCGCAAGCCUGAUCCAGCCAUGCCGCGUGAGUGACGAAGGUCUUCGGAUUGUAAAGCUCUUUUGGCGGGGGCGAUAAUGACGGUACCCGCAGAAUAAGCCCCGGCUAACUUCGUG